ensembl:lncRNA
UGGGACUUGCGCUGCAAGAAACCUGAUUUCACUUGUGAUGUGUACUUAAGUCAGCACUGUUUUGCACUAAAUCCCUGCUGCUCCCCUCUUUCCCUGCUGGGCUUGUGUUGAGCUUAUGGCAAAUAAAACCUAUUUUUUCUACUUUUCCAUGAGGCACCAUAAGUGUAGAGACUGGAGUCUGCAAGCUCUUUGCUACCCUUUGAGCUUUAUACAAGAUCUUCCUGCAUGCACUGUGCACCUCAUGAAGCAAGCUAUCAGGGGCGUUUUGGGGAUAGCUGGGAUAUGUUUGUGUCUUUUUGGAGAUCCCCAUUUGUCACUGACAGGUAAGACGGGCUAGCUGUGCUGUCUCUGAGACACUCUGCUAUCUAGUUUCUCCUCAAGUUGGGGGAUUUGGGUGACCCAGCAGCCCCUAUUGUGUUUGCAUGCCACUGCCCCAGAGGAGCUUUACUGGAUGUAGUGCAAGCAACUCACAAGACACAGCUUCUCAUCAAAGUAAUUAUUCACACCCUGUUCCUCUGAUGCUUGUCUGAGUUCUGCAGAGACAAUUCAAGGACUGAAAGAUCUUACUUCUGCAGAAAAUUAGAAGAAUUGUUUUUCCCACACAAAGCUGCAGAAGAAUGCUGCAGUGUUGCUGGAGAUCUGGGACUGGAUUAAGCUGAAGUAGGAAGCUGGGGACAUGAAAACAAGAUAGUGAACAGCCGCUUAAGUUCUAUGCUCUUGAGUGAUGGCCUUUUGUGAAAUAGUUCUGUGAAGCUUCCCCAGGCGAAAGGUCUUACAUGACUCUCUACCCUCUGCUGAGAAGGUGCUUCUUUUUCAAUCUCAGCCUGAACCACUGAUGGAGCACCUGGGGAAAGGACCCGGUCAGCCCUGGGAGCACAGUGAAGGCAAUUCAGCUGUGUGACUGGAAGGGAUGGAACCUGGCUGCACCUCUCUUAGACCCCAUUUAAGGGCUGACUGUGGCUGGGGAGGGAUCUCUGGUUGGAGAUCUCUCCUUUGUGAAG